GCCGGUGUGGCUCAGUGGAUAGAGUGUUGGCCUACGGACCAAAGGGUCCUGGGUUCGAUCCCAGUCAAGGGCA
rfam:Myotis lucifugus cont2.61383, whole genome shotgun sequence.